rnacentral:rRNA from 1 species
AUACGGAGGAUCCAAGCGUUAUCCGGAUUUACUGGGCGUAAAGCGCGUGCAGGCGGCUCGGAAAGUUGGAUGUGAAAGCUCCUGGCUUAACUGGGAGAGGUCGUUCAAAACUACCGGGCUUGAGGAUGAGAGAGGGAGGCGGAAUUCCGGGUGUAGUGGUGAAAUGCGUAGAUAUCCGGAGGAACACCAGUGGCGAAAGCGGCCUCCUGGCUCAUUACUGACGCUCAGACGCGAAAGCUAGGGUAGCAAACGGGAUUAGAGACCCCGGUAGUCCUAGCUGUAAACGAUGUAGACUUGGCGUGGGUGGGUUCAAAUCCAUCUGUGCCGGAGCAAACGCAUUAAGUCUACCGCCUGAGGACUACGGCCGCAAGGUUAAAACUCAAAGGAAUUGACGGGG